rnacentral:rRNA from 1 species
GAUGAACGCUAGCUACAGGCUUAACACAUGCAAGUCGAGGGGCAGCAUGAACUUAGCUUGCUAAGUUUGAUGGCGACCGGCGCACGGGUGAGUAACACGUAUCCAACCUUCCGUUUACUCAGGGAUAGCCUUUCGAAAGAAAGAUUAAUACCUGAUAGUAUGGUGAGAUUGCAUGAUAGCACCAUUAAAGAUUUAUUGGUAAACGAUGGGGAUGCGUUCCAUUAGGUAGUAGGCGGGGUAACGGCCCACCUAGCCGACGAUGGAUAGGGGUUCUGAGAGGAAGGUCCCCCACAUUGGAACUGAGACACGGUCCAAACUCCUACGGGAGGCAGCAGUGAGGAAUAUUGGUCAAUGGACGAGAGUCUGAACCAGCCAAGUAGCGUGCAGGAUGACGGCCCUAUGGGUUGUAAACUGCUUUUAUAAGGGAAUAAAGUGGAGUCGUGACUCUUUUUGCAUGUACCUUAUGAAUAAGGACCGGCUAAUUCCGUGCCAGCAGCCG